UGCAGACUGUGCAGUAGGAUUCUAGGCUGCAACCGCUGUGUAUGACCAGUUUGUCCGGAAAUCGAGGACGACCAGUUCUGGAAGAUAUCACGUGACCCAGUCCUAUAUAUUGUUGAUUGUCUCAGGCGCUGGUUUCUCAGUUGUAUGCAAUAGAACCCUGCUGACUCAAACAUUCAUUUGAACAGUGAAGCCUGAAUAUGCAUUCCGCCGUUAUAAGCUUGAUAUUAUUCAUCUUGACGUUGACGACACAAGUUUACUGUCAUAAAGAUGGAGCUCCCUCUCGUGCUUGCUUAAGUAUGACUCCUCAACAUGACGUAGAAGCCCAGAUUAGCAAAUCUCCGUACAACAUCUCUACAAGCAAAUCUUCUGGUAAAGUAGGGGAUGUUAUUUCAGUGACAAUCAAUGGUGAACUUCCGUUUAAAGGAUUUUUUCUGCAGGCCAGAAAGGAAGAUUCUCAGAAGAUCUUAACGGGAGAGUUCUUGACGUCAUCAAAUGCUGUUCAAACCUUGAAUUGUCAGCGUGGGUU